rnacentral:rRNA from 1 species
AACGAACGCUGGCGGCAUGCCUAACACAUGCAAGUCGAACGAGACCUUCGGGUCUAGUGGCGCACGGGUGCGUAACGCGUGGGAACCUGCCUUUAGGUUCGGAAUAACUCAGAGAAAUUUGAGCUAAUACCGGAUAAUGUCUUCGGACCAAAGAUUUAUCGCCUUUAGAUGGGCCCGCGUUGGAUUAGCUAGUUGGUGGGGUAAAGGCCUACCAAGGCGACGAUCCAUAGCUGGUCUGAGAGGAUGAUCAGCCACACUGGGACUGAGACACGGCCCAGACUCCUACGGGAGGCAGCAGUGGGGAAUAUUGGACAAUGGGCGAAAGCCUGAUCCAGCAAUGCCGCGUGAGUGAUGAAGGCCUUAGGGUUGUAAAGCUCUUUUACCCGAGAUGAUAAUGACAGUAUCGGGAGAAUAAGCUCCGGCUAACUCCGUGCCAGCAGCCGCGGUAAUGUGACUACUG